CAUGAAGGUUUGUAAUAAAAAUUUGUUUCUAUCAGCAUUGCUUUGCAUUGCUAUUGCAGGAGUUUUGGGUCAAGCUCCUAGUAAUCCUCCUACGUCUACGCCGGCGCCACCCACACCACCGGCUUCUACUCCUCCUCCGACGACUCAACCACCGCCUACACCAACCGCCACUCCGCCACCAGUUUCUACUCCUCUUCCCACUUCAUCACCGCCCCCAGUGACAGCUUCUCCACCCCCAGUUUCAACUCCUCCACCCAGUUCUCCUCCUCCCGCAACUCCACCACCUGCUUCUCCACCUCCUGCAACUCCACCUCCAGCUUCUCCACCUCCUGCAACUCCACCUCCAGCUUCUCCACCUCCCGCCACUCCUCCACCAGCAACCCCCCCACCUGCAACUCCUCCUGCUACCCCACCACCAGCUCCAUUGGCUUCUCCUCCAGCCACAGUCCCAGCUAUCUCUCCAGUACAAACACCAUUGACCUCGCCACCAGCUCCGCCGACCGAGGCCCCAGCACC
rnacentral:lncRNA from 1 species